rnacentral:rRNA from 1 species
UACCAGCACCCCGAGUGGUCGGGACGUUUAUUGGGCCUAAAGCAUCCGUAGCCGGUUCUACAAGUCUUCCGUUAAAUCCAACUGCUUAACAGGUGGGCUGCGGAAGAUACUAUAGAGCUAGGAGGCGGGAGAGGCAAGCGGUACUCGAUGGGUAGGGGGUAAAAUCCGUUGAUCCAUUGAAGACCACCAGUGGCGAAGGCGGCUUGCCAGAACGCGCUCGACGGUGAGGGAUGAAAGCUGGGGAGCAAACAGG